GAAAAUAUAAACAGCAGUUAGCAUGAUGCCUGGCACAUGGUGUGCAUUCAGGAUAUAACUGGGGCCUUUGGGAACCAGGCAAUAUUCCAGACACACAUGACAUCAGUAACAUCCAUAUGUCUGUGAUGGGGUAGGAGAGAAGACUACUUUUCAGGUGGGACAUUUUGAUUGGAGAGGGUCUCUGAUUCAGAGAGUGAGGUGAGCUAUUUUCUUCUUGGGAGUUCUUGGCAUUUGAUAAUCCUUGGUGUUUAUUUCAAAAUAUGGAAGAAUUUGAGAUUUACUUAGACAUCUUGGCAUGCAGUGCUAAACCUCAGACUUCCUGAAUUUAUUUACCAGCUAGGGGAAGCAUAUUCCCAACUUUAAUUGUAUUUACAAAGGGCUCUAAUCUGGUGUGAAGUCUGAAGGCAUAUUUGUUGUAGGAGUUACUCAAUUAGCCAGUGAGAAAAGAACAAAGGAAAAGUCAUUAUGCAGAUGUAUGCCCAUUCAAAUCUAUUCCGCCUCUAGAUGCUUUCUUCGUAGUGAAGGGAAGAACUCCAGUCUGCAAGUCUCUCGUCUCUGCUGUGUUUUCUGCUAAUUCUCUUCUAAUAUUAGGCCAUGAAUGAUUAAUAAUAUUGCAUUUUGACACUGUUAGAUUUUGUCAAUUUUUUUCAAUAUAAAAGCAGAUAAUUACAGAUUACUUUAACAUCCAGGAAGUGAAAUCAACCAUGAAUUACACUCAGACUCAUCCACGACCCCUUGAAUAUCUGUCUUUUUUUUUUCAAUAGGAGAUUGAAGUUUCUUUAGUCAAUUACACAAGUCAUGUCUGACAAUUGAGAAAAUGCUGUUCACAUAAAACAUCAUAAAUUAAAAAUAUACAGUGUUUAUAUUUUAAUACAGUAGGGUCCCAGGAUUCAAACAAAGAAUUUUGAUCUCAGAGGUUGCAUUAUGUAGUUAUGUGUUCUGCUUUAAAGAACUAUACUGGAGGUAAACUUGAAACUGCCUUUGCAGAAAUUAUAACUGAGGAAAUUAUGACAGUGAAAGAGAUCAGACCUAACCAACUACACCUUUUAUCUAAUCUUAAAGCUAUCCUUAUUCAUUCCUGGGCAUAGGCCGAAAUAACCUUGGGAAGGAAUUUAGUUUACAGUUUGACUCUGAAACAAAAUUGAUAAUAGCCGUUUCCUGAAAAGACCUCCUUCUUGCCUGGUGACCAGUCUGCCUUUGUAGGACUAACAAAUUGGCUACAAGAUUGGAAAUUAUGGUUUAGGGGUCAUGCAGCCCCUGACUCCAAGAGUCUGAACCUCCCCAGAUUGCUCCUAGGGAUAGCGUCAUUAUUGUAAAACUUAAGAUCAGUGCUUGAGAUAUUUUGCAAACCCUGCACUCAGUGGAUCAGCUGACACCACCCAGACUGGUAACUUGGCUCCCAGUUCUGCCAUCCCACCCAGGAACAGAAGACCACAAAAAAACCUCACUUCGACCCCCUAUGAUACCAUCUCCAACCUGACCAAUCAGCACCACUUCCUGAGCCGCUACCCACCAAAUUAUCUCUAAAAACUCUGAUCCCCAAAUGCUCCAGGAAGGCUGAUUUGAAUAAUAAUAAAACUCAGGUCUCCCGCACACGUGGCUCCGUGUGAAUUACUGUUUUUCCACUGCAGUUCCCCCAUCUUGCUAAAUUGGCUCUGUCUAGGCAGGGGGCCAGGUGAACCCAUUGGAU
rnacentral:lncRNA from 1 species